GUGACCUCGGAUCAGUAGAAUCCCAAU
rnacentral:rRNA from 1 species